UACGUAGGGUGCGAGCGUUAAUCGGAAUUACUGGGCGUAAAGUGUGCGCAGGCGGCGGAGCAAGUCGAGUGUGAAAGCCCCGGGCUUAACUUGGGAACUGCGCUCGAAACUACUUUGCUGGAGUGUGGCAGAGGAAGGUGGAAUUCCAGGUGUAGCGGUGAAAUGCGUAGAGAUCUGGAGGAACACCGAUGGCGAAGGCAGCCUUCUGGGCCAACACUGACGCUCAUGCACGAAAGCGUGGGGAGCAAACAGG
rnacentral:rRNA from 1 species